rnacentral:rRNA from 1 species
UACGUAGGUGGCGAGCGUUGUCCGGAUUUACUGGGCGUAAAGGGAGCGUAGGCGGACUUUUAAGUGAGAUGUGAAAUACCCGGGCUCAACUUGGGUGCUGCAUUUCAAACUGGAAGUCUAGAGUGCAGGAGAGGAGAAUGGGAUUCCUAGUGUAGCGGUGAAAUGCGUAGAGAUUAGGAAGAACACCAGUGGCGAAGGCGAUUCUCUGGACUGUAACUGACGCUGAGGCUCGAAAGCGUGGGGAGCAAACAGGAUUAGAUA